UUCCUACCUUAAAAUAUUGGCUCUGUUCUACGAAGGUUAGAAUGGUGAAUGCCGCAAGGAUAACGCCGGUAUCUUGAGACGCUUUCUAGACUACAACAUACAGGCGCGCGUUUGUCAACUAUUGAACAAUGUCUCAUCUCACAGCGGAAGAGCGCGCAUUCUACACGAAACACUUUCUCAAACUGGACUUGGACGGAAACGGCUGGCUGGAUAUCAAAGAGUUGGGCAGCAUGUUUCUGUCAUCAGGGUUAGACGUAUCCUUCUCAAAACUACAGGAACUAUUUGAGAGGAUGGAUACGGACGGUAAUGGACGCAUUACGCUGGACGAAUUCUUGGUGCAUAUGCCAAAGACUGCGAAGAUCAAGGUUUAAAUUGAUUGAACAAACGCGACUCGGAGGCGCUAGACGCCAAUGUGGUUGAUGUACUUCGUUAGUGAGGCAUCUGCUUGGAAACUGAGGCAUCAGCAUACAUAUUUAUUUAAAACAUUUGUGUACAAAAUAUCACAAAAUAUUCAGCAAAAAAUUCGUAUGGAAAUCGUCAAAUUGUAAUUAGAAACAUUAUCACUAACAUUAGAUUUCGAAACGUUGUUAUUUGGUUUAUUAAUAGACCUGACGCUCAUCGUAUUAAAAUAUGGCGAUUGGGCAUGCUAAAACUCGGACUUAACAGUUUGUGUCAGAAAUAAAAGAUGUCAAACCAA